GGCGUUACAAAGGCGGACGGGAGUGUGGUGGGACCUGAACACGUGUCCGGUUCCCGAUGGUUUUGACCCUCGUCGUGUGCGUGGGUGCAUAGAAUCAGCGGUGCACAAGCAGAUGGGUCAUCGUUCUAAAGUCGUCAUCUAUGCCAUGGGCAACCUAGAAUACAUCUCUAGUGACCUCUUGGAAGAGAUAGCUUACUCUGGAAUCGUUCUUGUCCACGCUCCCUGCGGUAUUAAAAUCCUCUCCUCUCUGGAAUAAUAAUAAUUAUUAUUAUAUCGAUUUGUCAGAGAGUAAUAUCUUUUAUUUCUAGGUGGGAACGACUUCAGAAAGUUACUGGGCGAAUGGUCUCAGCUUAACCCAUCAUCUCCGGCUUAUACUGUCAUGCUCAUAUCCUGCAAUUAUACGAUGGUUGAUCCUUAUCUUUUUCGGCCUACUCGAUUCACUGCUUUUUGUCUAUAUCCAAAAGAUAGCCGGCCAGUUACCCUUGACCAGCAGCCAGUAGCUCAGAAUGUUUUUGUGGGAGAGUUUGUCUGGGAAACUUUAUUGAAUGACAACAUCACAUGUGAGAUGAUGACCGUGAAUGAAGAUGAACCUCUCUGCAUUUGCGACAUAUGCGAUGACACUUUCGAAAUAUGUGCCCAAUUCAUCACUCAUCUCAAGAGUGAAGAACACAUAAAGGAGGUAAGCGAGCGAGCCUCCUCCUCUUCAGCUUUUGUAUCAUUGUCAUGUAACCUCUGUGUGUGUGAUGGUCUCAGCUUAACCCAUCAUCUCCGGCUUAUACUGUCAUGCUCAUAUCCUGCAAUUAUACGAUGGUUGAUCCUUAUCUUUUUCGGCCUACUCGAUUCACUGCUUUUUGUCUAUAUCCAAAAGAUAGCCGGCCAGUUACCCUUGACCAGCAGCCAGUAGCUCAGAAUGUUUUUGUGGGAGAGUUUGUCUGGGAAACUUUAUUGAAUGACAACAUCACAUGUGAGAUGAUGACCGUGAAUGAAGAUGAACCUCUCUGCAUUUGCGACAUAUGCGAUGACACUUUCGAAAUAUGUGCCGAAUUCAUCACUCAUCUCAAGAGUGAAGAACACAUAAAGGAGGUAAGCGAGCGAGCCUCCUCCUCUUCAGCUUUUGUAUCAUUGUCAUGUAACCUCUCUGUGUGUGUGUGUGUGCAGUUGUCUGAUAUAGUGCCUAGAGACUCCUGGUACGGUAAGCCUAUGCAUUUUUGCCAUGUUUGCAAUUAUCCCGGCUACGACGAUUAUAACAUGCUCCUCCAUAACCAAAGUGAAGAUCAUCAUCGCAAGGUAAAGCAUCCUUGCCUCUUUGCUCCUCUGACCAACUCUUCUGUAUCAAUAAAAUUUGAUCCCGUUUUGGUUUGUUUUCAAGCAGAAGAAUCUGGCUGAGAAAAUGGCUCAAGAAGAGGAUUGCGAGAGCAGGAAGAGAAAUCCACAAGUAGAUCUCUUUUACGAGAGAAACAAGAAGCAAUCUCUUUGAACGAGGCAAACAAGCUAGAGCGUGUGCAUGCCCCAUGGGGUCUGUGUUAAGUUUACUUUUGUCGAUUAAUUAAAAUGAAACUCUCAAAGGGGGAUUGAUGAUGAUUGUGUUCUUGGCGAAAAUUAUGCGAGUGUGAGAGACAAGCCUUUACCUUUUUAUCUCUUUAGGAAACUGUAGGGGAAGGAAACCAAGAAACUGUUAUUGUGUCUCAUAUGGACUAAACAUAUUUUUGGCCAUCUCUACUGACUGAGUUGCAUCGCAAGGUAAAGCAUCCUUGCCUCUUUGCUCCUCUGACCAACUCUUCUGUAUCAAUAAAAUUUGAUCCCGUUUUGGUUUGUUUUCAAGCAGAAGAAUCUGGCUGAGAAAAUGGCUCAAGAAGAGGAUUGCGAGAGCAGGAAGAGAAAUCCACAAGUAGAUCUCUUUUACGAGAGAAACAAGAAGCAAUCUCUUUGAACGAGGCAAACAAGCUAGAGCGUGUGCAUGCCCCAUGGGGUCUGUGUUAAGUUUACUUUUGUCGAUUAAUUAAAAUGAAACUCUCAAAGGGGGAUUGAUGAUGAUUGUGUUCUUGGCGAAAAUUAUGCGAGUGUGAGAGACAAGCCUUUACCUUUUUAUCUCUUUAGGAAACUGUAGGGGAAGGAAACCAAGAAACUGUUAUUGUGUCUCAUAUGGACUAAACAUAUUUUUGGCCAUCUCUACUGACUGAGUUGCAAAACUCACUACUUUUUAAACGGAACUGCUUACAUCACUAGUUAACAAAAGAAAAAAACAAUGUCGCUUCUUUUAAUGGGCACAAAUAAAACCAGACUUGUUAUGUCACUCCUGUGACAAAAGAGUGCAUUUCUAUUACAUACAUGUUAGUCUCGUGGAACUAAAGCUGCCCCGAUCUAUAGCAUAAACCUUGUGCCGGGUGUGUGUGACUCACUCACCCAAACGUUUCUUUUGUUCCCUAAAGUGACAACUCUUACAUUUUCUUCGCUAUAUAUAAUUCUUAUAGAAAAAAAUGGCCACAGCCUAAAGGAGGAGUUUAGAAAACAAACGUACUAUAUCAUCAUCAACAACUAUGUGAAACCUUUCUCAACGUUUUUGUGAUUUUAUCUCGGAGCCGCUUUAUCUUAGAACGCAUAUGUGAGUUUGUACCAAAAUAAGAUUCAGCGUUUGACAGCAUUGCAUCCACGUCGUGCUUAAACGACCCCAUACUUCUGUAGUACCGAUUCUCUACUCUCUGGUGAAUCAGCUCUGGGUAUAAAGGAACUGGGAACCUGCAAAAAGGAUUUUAAAUGUAACGAAGCUGAGUUACAUAUAAGGGAAUCAUAUUUAAAGAGAGUCAGAUUGCAGCAGAGAGCAAAGCGUACCUAUUGCAGAAAUCCAUCUUUUGAGCAGCUUCGUUUAGCUUUUGGAUUCCAUAACUAUCCUGAAGAAUAAUAUUAUAGUAACAGAAAAAAAAGUAACGGUCAAGCAAAGAUAAAAAAAGAUAGAGAAAUGGCCGGGAGAGAAGACAAAAAAAAAACCUGAUGCUUGCUGAUUGACUUCACUAGUCCAGCAAAUAAAGAAAGUAGUUUCUCUCUUGGCUCUUCGUCCAUGGUAGAGUUUUCCCAAGGAAACUGGGGAUUGUCAAACUCCCAGGGGCUGUGGAGAUUCGUGUCCCCAGUUUCAUAGACAACUUUGUAUCUCUCCCAUGGACUGUCUGGGAAGUUAGGGGACUUAACCUGUGAAGACUCGAUCCUUCCAUCCCACCAAGCACCGCCUUCACUGGACUCGUUUCUCCACCACACACGGCAUUCAUCCCCGACUUCCCAGUUUGUUUUCAUUGCAGCAUCGUAUCGAGUCUUCUCCACAAUAAAAUCCGGAAAAUUAAUGAGGUCAGGCAGUGUUAGUUGGAACUCUUUCCGAGAGGCAUGCGAUGAAGAAGAAUCCAGAACCCUGAGAGUCAUUUUGCAGCAGCUCUCGCCAGAACCAGGAUAUGUAUCGUAGUUGAGUUUCUCGACUUUACAAAACUCUACCGCUCCUAGGUUUCGUGGAAGGUACCUUGAUCGGUCGCUGUCAUUUAAUUCUCUACUUUCAAGGAACUCUUUAUGUCCCUGAGAAACGACAACCAGAGAAAGCUGUCAUUUAAUUCUCUUGAUCUAAGUAAUUAAUACAUGAAACUACCAGCCAAAAGAAAAGGACAUACCUGCUUGAAGUAAACAACUUCAUCCCCUAGCUGGGGUAUAUAGCGGCAGCUUUCCUCGUGUUCUGACAACAUCAACCAUGAGACUUUCCUUGACACAUUAUUCAACCUUAUCCCAGUAUUAAGACUUUGUUUGCUGGUACUUGCAGACCGGGACCUUGAAGUAGAAGGCCAUUCUUCAAGUGAGGCACCAUCAUACACGCUUGUGGAAGGAAUUUCUUGUUUCUUUACUUUAUCUAUAGACCUCAAACGUAAUACACUGUUUCUUGCACUAGACUGACUUGAAGUGGCCUUCAGUCUCAUAGAUCUCUUCCUACGUAUCACAUCGGCUGUAGCUUCUCCAAACUCAGCGUUGUGAGCAGGAGAGUUUCUAACAUUAUCUCUCACAGGUUCAGAAUCCAUAACAGGAUUCAUGGAAGAGGGAGCUAUGGAUGCAAGACCUUCUCCACCAUCUCCAAAAUCAUCUGCUACCUCAUCAGGCUCUAUUUUUAGAGGACUGCUGGGGUGCCGAAGCUUUAAUCUCAGUCGUCGAACUUUCUUUGGAAUAAUCUCCUCGGCUUCCGUGGAAGUAUCUACAUCACAAUGUCUUCGCUGAACACAGAAUGGUUCAACAAUUGACAAAUCUUCAUCCCUGCAAGAGAAAACAAUGGAUUAGAUCGUUGAUAUUUAAUAUAAGCAUAAAUUUUCUUAGUAAUCAUAACCAGAUUUCUUUGCCGUACCCAUUAGAUGUUUGGGCUUCUACAAUGUUCUCAGACUCGGCUAAUUUGGUGGAUUCACAAAGAGGAGUCUCUUCCCUCCACUUGCACAUAGUCUGGUCCUGAUCUGAAGAUUUUAUCAAUUGAUUAUUUGCCUUUUCUCUCUGUGGCGUAUUCAUAGAAUGGGGCACAUCCUGACACCAUGACGCACCUUUUGCAUCUACAGAACUUGACCCAGCUUCUCUAGAGUAUAUACCAAUUACUUUGUGAUUAUCCUCCAAAGAUUUCGAAGAAACAUGCUCCAAAUCAGCUUGACUCAUUACACUUCUCUUGCUUUCCACAGACUCUGUUGGCUUCUUAACCGAGAUCUUUACAAUCAAUCUUUUCUUUUGUUUGUCAUUUGAAAGAGAUUCCAGCUUCUGAGAUGGCUUCUCCAACUGUUGCAAAGGUGAUGCGCUUCUAUCAGAGUCACUAUUGGAUGAAUCAUCAGCUUCAUCCGAAGAGCUUCCAGAAAUCUUUGAAAGCAAGGACCGAGCAUUUUGCGCGGCUGCUCUUUGCGGUCGUGAUUCCUUGACAUCAGAAUAUCUUCUUUUUGAAGCCUUCACGCCAAUUCUUCUGUUUUUGAUUCUCUUAUUUCCAAAUUCGGAGCUAUCAAUCUCAUCCAAAAUCCUCUUAUCACGCCUUCCAGAUGAAGUAGCCACAUCAGCCUGAGAAAACGGGAGUUAGUCAAUAGAUAACAAAUAACAAAAUCGCAUGAGAUGAACAAAACAUACUCUAGGAUGUUGUCUUCGUCUUUUCCGAUUAUAACUAUUUUCGUAAAUAUUUUCAACGUCACUGUCCUCGGAACUGCACUCAAGUUCAUUUGAAGAGUUGGAACAUGGGCUUGCCUUAGCUCCAUCAGAGGAAACUUCAGCAUUGUACUCCGAAUCAUUGUCAUCACUCAGAACUUCAUGUUCUGGUUCCCAGUACAUAGCAUCUAUAAACUCAGGCAGUGGCUCGAUCAAUCUAUCCAGAUCUGCCAAAGGAGGCAUAAUAUAAUCUUGACCUAGACUAAAAUCAGGGCCAACAGAAAACUUUAUCGAGGAAGGACGCCAUUCGACUCCUAAUGCACCCAGUCUGCGUUGCUGAAACAUUGUCUGGUCAGGUUCUGGAUACGGAAUCAUACCUGAAAAUUUUUAAAACAAACACCAAGAAUAUAUGCCAUGAAUAACCAAUAUCUUGCAUAAAAGACAUAAAGAUAAGCUUUUGGGUACAAACUUGAAUCACAAAGAAGAUCUUGAAGGUUCCUCCGAUGGGGAAGAAGCUGAGUCUCCUGCACCGUGGAAAUUAUAGCUUUAAAUUUAGUCACAAUGAAACUGCAAGGAUAUCAUUCAUACAUCUCCGCCUUUUUAAUUCGAUAAAUGCAUAAAAGUGUGCAUGUUUCGGUGAGCUCUCUUUAAAAGAACGCAACAAUAACUAGAAGCAAAACAGGAGAUACAAGUAUUUGAAACCAACCUGAUCAAGAACAUGUCCAUUGGUAUCUCGAAUAAGAGGACGGUAAUCACCAAGGAAGAACUUACACAAAACAAGAAAAGACAAAGGAUCAGAAAGCAAUAGAGGAUCACUAAAAACUGCAGCCAUAUAUAAGAAAAAGAUUAUGCAUUAGGGAUGCAAAAUCCACCAUAAGUUUUGUGCAUUCUGAAAGGUCGUCGUCGUCUAAAUAAAUAGAUCUCUCGCUCGGGAAAAAGUUGCAGGAAACCCUAAACCGAUCCCAAAUUCGUUGCGGCUGAGAUAUCGAUUCGAUAUGGCAGGAGGAGGAGGUGGGUAGUUUUGGAUUUCGAUUACUUUUUUGUAGAUUAAAGCGGAUAUUAAUGGUGAUUGAUUUAUGUGGUAGGUGAUGCGGCGUUACAAAGGCGGACGGGAGUGUGGUGGGACCUGAACACGUGUCCGGUUCCCGAUGGUUUUGACCCUCGUCGUGUGCGUGGGUGCAUAGAAUCAGCGGUGCACAAGCAGAUGGGUCAUCGUUCUAAAGUCGUCAUCUAUGCCAUGGGCAACCUAGAAUACAUCUCUAGUGACCUCUUGGAAGAGAUAGCUUACUCUGGAAUCGUUCUUGUCCACGCUCCCUGCGGUAUUAAAAUCCUCUCCUCUCUGGAAUAAUAAUAAUUAUUAUUAUAUCGAUUUGUCAG
rnacentral:lncRNA from 1 species